UACGUAGGGUGCAAGCGUUAAUCGGAAUUACUGGGCGUAAAGCGCACGUAGGCGGCUUUGUAAGUUAGAGGUGAAAGCCCGGGGCUCAACUCCGGAACUGCCUUUAAGACUGCAUCGCUUGAAUCAUGGAGAGGUCAGUGGAAUUCCGAGUGUAGAGGUGAAAUUCGUAGAUAUUCGGAAGAACACCAGUGGCGAAGGCGGCUGACUGGACAUGUAUUGACGCUGAGGUGCGAAAGCGUGGGGAGCAAACAGG
rnacentral:rRNA from 1 species